rnacentral:lncRNA from 1 species
AAACACUCCAAUUUGUGCAAACUGCUUACAAAUUCAGUCUUUCUUGUCCAGCUUCCCUUAAGCCGGCAGGGGAAGAAGAGGCAGGUGGAUAGGAAGCCCCACUGUGCACUUCAGAGCAUGAAGACAGCACAGUGAUUAGCUCCAGAUGAUCCCGUCUUCUUGAAAGUCUCCCCAUCCAUGGAGGGUGCACUUCCUAAUGUCCCAGUGGGGCCAGAAGUGGGGAAGGCAGAGUCCCAGACGUAAUGUCUAUAGGAAGAGCCAUCCAGCACCAAGCCACUUCUAGCAUGCUCUCCGGGGGUGAAUUCAGGCCAGCUUCUGCUCACCAGCGCCCCAAAAGGGAAGUCCCACAGUGGGUUUUUCCUGGCAUCUCAGAACCACGUGUUUGGUGGAGUGCAUCGAACAGAGCCUGGGGAUGCCUCAGGGCCAAAUGCAGAUGUGUGGGAGAUAUCUGCCCAGAGUCUGAUCUGAGUAUGCCCACCAACUGAGGAACAUCCCCAAAGGCUUCACUUCACCAUGAUGGCUGCUGGUGUGGUUUCUAGUUCCAUUUCAGAAGAGUGUAAGAGGCCACAGCCCAUGACCAAAGGUACCAGUAAGAGCCUCAGGUGUGUGGUGGCCCCAAACAGUCCCCUCUGUUCCCUACAUCAAUUCCUUAAAAUGAAAAGAAUCCAUUCAGUUCAUCAGGUGGGGUGUGAAAAUGUCAGGCUCUUGCCAGGUACUAGAGCUACCGGGGUGACAAGGACACUCUGACUGGCACUAAGGAGCUAGGCUCUGGGGAAGGCAGGCAUAUGACAGAAUUUCAUUGUCCUUCAGUAGGUGUUGUGAUUGGAAUGAACACACAACUCAGGUGUAGCAGGAGUCACCCUCCUUGUAGGGCAGGGUAGCUAGAGCAGGCUGGGAGCAUUCACUUGGGAGCCGGUGACCCCCCAAGUGGAAUCCUGGUGAGCAGGUGAGAGGCUUGGAAUGUGUGGGGCAGAAGAAGCACUGGCAUGUAUGUCUGCGUUCCCAAGCAGCAGGCUGUAGUAGGAAGUUUGGAAAGGGAGGAGCCAGCCCCAAAGGUCAGAACUGGGCCAUGGGCUUUGUUUUAAGGAGCCAGACAGGUUUUAAGUCAAGUCCAACUGGUAUUAAAAGAUACCAUUCUUUUUUUUUUUAAGAUUUUAUUUUUUAUAUAUACAUGGAAGAAGAAUGUUG